UACAUGUUAUUCAUGAGUUUAUUUUAUUAUACUUUCAAUUUGACCAGUGGUUGCUUAGAGAGUGCCAUGGGAUUCUAUCUACAUGAAACUAUAGGAUGAAGUCAUCUGAAGUUUGGGGUGUGAUAUCAUCAGUAACCUGAUGAGACCCUGCUCUAUUUCUUUUUCUCAGUGGUAGAGAAAACCCUAAAGCCUAGGAGCUAUGAGAUACUUGCUGCAGAAAAAACAAAUUCAAUGUGUUCUGAGAUAAAUGCUGAAGGAAAAGGAGGGGAGAGCACGAGCGCGCGUGCACACACACACCUCAAAAGAAGCAAAGCUGCAAAAUGGUCCUG